AAGAGACAGCGCCGCCGGCCGUGGGGAGCGGACGCAGUGAUUUGCUCCCCCUCGUGCAGCAACCCCCACACCCAGCACCAGGCCCCCAGAACUCUCCUUCCAGCUGAACUCCCUGGGAACAAGUCAGUUGGGCUGAUCACUGAACUCACAUUUCUGGACCUGAGGAGCCUGUUCCUCUCACGCCCUCACCUGGCUGAGCCGCAGUAGUUCUUCAGUGGCAAGCUUUAUGUCCUGACCCAGCUAAAGCUGCCAGUUGAAGAACUGUUGCCCUCUGCCCCUGGCUUCGAGGAGGAGGAGGAGCUGCUUUCCCCAUCAUCUGGAAGGUGACAGAAAUGGGCUGGGAAGGUCCGAACAGCAGGGUGGAUGAUACGUUUUGGGCAAGUUGGAGAGCCUUUGCCCAGAUUGGCCCAGCAAGGAGCGGUUUUAGAUUAGAGACACUGGCUGGAUUGAGGAGUAGAAGGCUCAAACAACCCAAGGUGGUAUGUGAUCCCCAGCUCAGGCCUGUGCAGACAGGAAAUUCUCCCCUGCAGCAAGUAGGGGAGGUGGGUUGUGGGAUG
rnacentral:lncRNA from 1 species